CACGUAGGGUGCGAGCGUUGUCCGGAAUUAUUGGGCGUAAAGAGCUCGUAGGCGGUGUGUCGCGUCGGCCGUGAAAACCUGCAGCUUAACUGUGGCUUGCGGUCGAUACGGGCAUCACUGGAGUUCGGCAGGGAGACUGGAAUUCCUGGUGUAGCGGUGAAAUGACGCAGAGUAUCAGGAGGGAACACCGGUGGGCGAAGGCGGGUCUCUGGGC
rnacentral:rRNA from 1 species